CUCGGCAACGGAUAUCUCGGCUCUCGCAUCAAUGAAGAACGUAGUGAAAUGCGAUACUUGGUGUGAAUUGCAGAAUCCCGUGAACCAUCGAGUCUUUGAACGCAAGUUGCGCCCGAAGCCAUUAGGCUGAGGGCACGUCUGCCUGGGCGUCACGC
rnacentral:rRNA from 1 species